GGAGGAGGAGCAGGAGCACGAGGCUGCACUUUCGGCGCUUCGAUCUCCGGCGGGCUUGGCCGGAUGCGUUGCAUUUUGAAUCUCCCAGAUGAAGAGAAUUGUAGAUUUGGCAACAACUGCCACAAACGCCUUAUCUGAGCACCCCUUCAGCGUAGAACUUUAUGCACAAAUGAGUGGAUGUGGAUGGUUUCGGAUGUUAAAACAUCCCUUUGUGGGAUGCACCAGAUACCUCAGGUGCUGGUGGUGUGAGCAGACCAGGAACUGGCAAAUGACAUGUUGCAAGAAAUUAAAAGUUGGAGGAAUGCAGAAUCCCAGAAAAUGUGCAGAGUAGGGCAUGUUCCAUCUGCGCUGCUGUCUUGCAAGAUCCGCUUUCAACAACCACUACCCCACACAAUGGGGUUUGCACUCACACGUUAGCGUUACAUACCCACAGG